UCAGCACCAGGGUGGCCUUCUGAAC
rnacentral:piRNA from 1 species